AUGAACGCUAGCUACAGGCUUAACACAUGCAAGUCGAGGGGCAGCAUCAUCAAAGCUUGCUUUGAUGGAUGGCGACCGGCGCACGGGUGAGUAACACGUAUCCAACCUGCCGACAACACUGGGAUAGCCUUUCGAAAGAAAGAUUAAUACCGGAUGGUAUAGUUUUCCCGCAUGGGGUGACUAUUAAAGAAUUUCGGUUGUCGAUGGGGAUGCGUUCCAUUAGGCAGUUGGCGGGGUAACGGCCCACCAAACCAACGAUGGAUAGGGGUUCUGAGAGGAAGGUCCCCCACAUUGGAACUGAGACACGGUCCAAACUCCUACGGGAGGCAGCAGUGAGGAAUAUUGGUCAAUGGACGAGAGUCUGAACCAGCCAAGUAGCGUGAAGGAUGACUGCCCUAUGGGUUGUAAACUUCUUUUAUACGGGAAUAAAGUGAGCCACGUGUGGCUUUUUGUAUGUACCGUAUGAAUAAGGAUCGGCUAACUCCGUGCCAGCAGCCGCGGUAAUACGGAGGAUCCGAGCGUUAUCCGGAUUUAUUGGGUUUAAAGGGAGCGUAGGCGGGUUGUUAAGUCAGUUGUGAAAGUUUGCGGCUCAACCGUAAAAUUGCAGUUGAUACUGGCGACCUUGAGUGCAACAGAGGUAGGCGGAAUUCGUGGUGUAGCGGUGAAAUGCUUAGAUAUCACGAAGAACUCCGAUUGCGAAGGCAGCUUACUGGAUUGUAACUGACGCUGAUGCUCGAAAGUGUGGGUAUCAAACAGGAUUAGAUACCCUGGUAGUCCACACAGUAAACGAUGAAUACUCGCUGUUGGCGAUAUACAGUCAGCGGCCAAGCGAAAGCAUUAAGUAUUCCACCUGGGGAGUACGCCGGCAACGGUGAAACUCAAAGGAAUUGACGGGGGCCCGCACAAGCGGUGGAGUAUGUGGUUUAAUUCGAAGCAACGCGAAGAACCUUACCAGGUCUUGACAUCCGAUGCAUAGUGCAGAGAUGCAUGAAGUCCUUCGGGACAUCGAGACAGGUGGUGCAUGGUUGUCGUCAGCUCGUGCCGUGAGGUGUCGGCUUAAGUGCCAUAACGAGCGCAACCCUUAUCGAUAGUUACUAGCAGGUUAUGCUGAGGACUCUAUCGAGACUGCCGUCGUAAGAUGUGAGGAAGGUGGGGAUGACGUCAAAUCAGCACGGCCCUUACGUCCGGGGCUACACACGUGUUACAAUGGGGGGUACAGAAGGCAGCUACACGGCGACGUGGUGCUAAUCCCGAAAGCCUCUCUCAGUUCGGAUUGGAGUCUGCAACCCGACUCCAUGAAGCUGGAUUCGCUAGUAAUCGCGCAUCAGCCACGGCGCGGUGAAUACGUUCCCGGGCCUUGUACACACCGCCCGUCAAGCCAUGAAAGCCGGGGGUACCUGAAGUACGUAACCGCGAGGAGCGUCCUAGGGUAAAACUGGUGAUUGGGGCU
rnacentral:rRNA from 1 species